GCUAGGGUUCCGGCCGCCGCCGCACACCCGCGUAGGCCUUCCUCUUCGUCCAGCUUCAGCAGCGACGCCGGUGAUUGGAAGCACCCCUCCACAGAGUCUCUCGUAAUUGAAGGGACCGAGGUAUAGGCGGUGGAUCCGGCGGUAGCUGCCAUGCGCGGCGAUGAAGCCCAGAUGGUCGAGCACCGGGCCGAGGCAGAGGUGGCGGAGCCAGCGGUAGAGGGCGAGCACAUUGAUGAAGAUGCGGUGGCCAGGUAUAUGACUAAGGUCUGUGGGAUGCAGUAACCAGAAGCAAUGUGGUUGAUGGAGCUGACAGAUUACAGCAAGCUGCUGUCAGGAUGCACGAGAUGGCGAGAAGGGCGGACACUCUGAGUUUCAGAGGAGUUGAGAGUGAUGAAGAUAUCGAUGUGGACUGAAUGAUGAAAAAGACGAAUAGUGGUUUCCUGAAGCUUGAACAUCUGUUGCUGGCCUUCCUUCUCCAGCCAGUUUCUGAGAUAUUGCUGCUCAGUAGUAAAUGUCUAUCUCUAGUCAUCUGUUACCAGGUUGUCUUCAGAUCCUAGUCUUCAAAUACUAGUCUGGUCUCGUGAUGUUGUGUUGAAGUACUGGUUGCAACAUUGGAAAAUGUUUUAUGUUUUUGCCUUUUUCUUUUUGGUUGUAAGACUAUUUGUUAUGUUAUUCACUGGUAAUGGAACCCGGCUCUCUGUGGAGGGGUGUUGAGAGUUGUAUGGAGUA